UACGGAGGGUGCAAGCGUUGUCCGGAUUUAUUGGGUUUAAAGGGUGCGCAGGUGGUUUAUUAAGUCAGUGGUGAAAGACGGUCGCUCAACGAUUGCAGUGCCAUUGAUACUGGUAGACUUGAGUAAAGUAGAGGUGGGCGGAAUUGAUAGUGUAGCGGUGAAAUGCAUAGAUAUUAUCAAGAACUCCAAUUGCGUAGGCAGCUCACUUGGCUUUUACUGACACUCAUGCACGAAAGUGUGGGUAUCAAACAGG
rnacentral:rRNA from 1 species